UACGGAGGUGGCAAGCGUUGCUCGGAAUUACUGGGCGUAAAGAGCGCGUAGGCGGUCCGGUACGACCUGUGUGAAAGCCCCCGGCUCAACUGGGGAGGGUCACGCGAUACUGGUCGACUCGAAGGCAGGAGAGGGUAGUGGAAUUCCCGGUGUAGUGGUGAAAUGCGUAGAUAUCGGGAGGAACACCAGUGGCGAAGGCGACUACCUGGCCUGUUCUUGACGCUGAGGCGCGAAAGCUAGGGGAGCAAACGGGG
rnacentral:rRNA from 1 species